rnacentral:rRNA from 1 species
UACAGAGGUCUCAAGCGUUGUUCGGAUUCAUUGGGCGUAAAGGGUGCGUAGGCGGCGCGGUAAGUCGGGUGUGAAAUCUCGGAGCUUAACUCCGAAACUGCAUUCGAUACUGCCGUGCUUGAGGACUGGAGAGGAGACUGGAAUUUACGGUGUAGCGGUGAAAUGCGUAGAUAUCGUAAGGAAGACCAGGUGGCGAAGGCGGGUCUCUGGACAGUUCCUGACACUGAGACACGAAGGCCAGGGGAGCAAACGGG